ensembl:lncRNA
CUAACAGCCCCACGGGUGCCCUAUGGGUGCCCUACAGGUGCCCUACCCAUCUUUUAUGUGCCCUAUGGGUGCCCUACAGCUGCCCUACCCACCCUUUAGGUGCCCUAUGGGUGCCCUAUAGCUGCCCUAACAGCCCCAUGGGUGCCCUACAUCUGCCCUACCCACCCUUUAGGUGCCCUAUGGGUGCCCUACAGCUGCCCUACCCACCCUUUAGGUGCCCUACGGGUGCCCUACAGCUGCCCUAACAGCCCUACAGGUGCCCUACCAACCCUUGAGGUGCCCUAUAGCUGCCCUAACAGCCCCACGGGUGCCCUACAGCUGCCCUACCCACCCUUUAGGUGCCCUAUGGGUGCCCUAUAGCUGCCCUAACAGCCCCACGGGUGCCCUACAGGCUACUGCACGUUCUGCCCUCCACCGCCUGCAAUUCCGUGUGCGGCCACCAGGGGGCAGCACCCACUGCUCAUACAACUUCUGCCCUCCACCGCCUGCAAUUCCAAGGGCGGCCACCAGGGGGCAGCACCCCCCACUCCUCCACGUCCUUCCCUCCACCGCCUGCAAUUCCAUAGGCGACCACCAGGGGGCAGCACGCACUGCCCUCCACCGCCUGCAAUUCCAGCCAUGGCCACCAGGGAGCAGCACCCCCCACUUCUAUACCUUCCACCAUCCACCGCCUGCAGUUCCAAGGGUGGCCAGCAGAGGGCAGCACCCAUCGCUUAUACAACUUCUGCCCUCCACCGCCUGCAAUUCCAAGGGCGACCACCAGGGGGCAGUACCCCCCACUUCUACACGUUCUGCCCUCCACCGCCUGCAAUUCCAUGGGCGGCCAGCAGGGGGCAGCACCCAAAACUCCUACACCUUCUGCCCUCCACCGCCUGCAAUUCCAGAGACAACCACCAGGGGGCAGCACCCACUGCCCUCCACCGCCUGCAAUUCCAUCCAUGGCCACCAGGGGGCAGCACCCACUGCUCAUACAACUUCUGCCCUCCACUGCCUGCAAUUCCAUGGGCGGCCACCAAG